GUGGGGAAUAUUGGACAAUGGGCGAAAGCCUGAUCCAGCCAUGCCGCGUGUGUGAAGAAGGUCUUCGGAUUGUAAAGCACUUUAAGUUGGGAGGAAGGGCAGUAAGUUAAUACCUUGCUGUUUUGACGUUACCAACAGAAUAAGCACCGGCUAACUUCGUGCCAGCAGCCGCGGUAAUACGAAGGGUGCAAGCGUUAAUCGGAAUUACUGGGCGUAAAGCGCGCGUAGGUGGUUCAGCAAGUUGGAGGUGAAAUCCCCGGGCUCAACCUGGGAACUGCCUCCAAAACUGCAUGACUAGAGUACGGUAGAGGGUAGUGGAAUUUCCUGUGUAGCAGUGAAAUGCGUAGAUAUAGGAAGGAACACCAGUGGCGAAGGCGACUACCUGGACUGAUACUGACACUGAGGUGCGAAAGCGUGGGGAGCAAACAGGAUUAGAAACCCGAGUAGUCC
rnacentral:rRNA from 1 species